UACGGAGGGUGCAAGCGUUAUCCGGAUUCACUGGGUUUAAAGGGAGCGUAGGUGGGUUGGUAAGUCAGUGGUGAAAUCUCCGGGCUUAACUCGGAAACUGCCGUUGAUACUAUCAAUCUUGAAUAUUGUGGAGGUAAGCGGAAUAUGUCAUGUAGCGGUGAAAUGCUUAGAUAUGACAUAGAACACCGAUAGCGAAGGCAGCUUGCUACACAAUUAUUGACACUGAGGCUCGAAAGCGUGGGGAGCGAACAGG
rnacentral:rRNA from 1 species